rnacentral:tRNA from 1 species
CGCGGGGUGGAGCAGUCUGGUAGCUCGUCGGGCUCAUAACCCGAAGGUCGGAGGUUCAAAUCCUCCCCCCGCUACGA